rnacentral:rRNA from 1 species
AGAGUUUGAUCCUGGCUCAGAAUGAACGCUGGCGGCGUGCCUAACACAUGCAAGUCGGAUGUGCCGCAAGGUGCAUGGCAGACGGGUGAGUAACGCGUGGGGAAUCUACCUUUUUGUGGGGAAUAACGUUCCGAAAGGAAUGGUAAUACCGCAUGUGACCACUUGUUGGAAUAUGGGUGGUGAAAGCCGGGGACCGCAAGGCCUGGCGCAAGAAGAGGAUCCUGCGUCUGAUUAGCUAGUUGGUGAGGUAACGGCCCACCAAGGCAACGAUCAGUAGCCGGCCUGAGAGGGUGAUCGGCCACACUGGAACUGAGACACGGUCCAGACUCCUACGGGAGGCAGCAGUGGGGAAUUUUGCGCAAUGGGCGAAAGCCUGACGCAGCAACGCCGCGUGGGUGAUGAAGGUCUUCGGAUCGUAAAACCCUGUCGUCGAGGACGAAGGUCGGAGUGUUAAUAGCAUUUUGGCUUGACGGUACUCGGAGAGGAAGCCCCGGCUAACUCUGUGCCAGCAGCCGCGGUAAUACAGAGGGGGCAAGCGUUAUUCGGAAUUAUUGGGCGUAAAGGGCGCGUAGGCGGUUUGUUAAGUCAGAUGUGUAAUCCCCGAGCUCAACUUGGGAACUGCAUCUGAGACUGGCAGGCUAGAGUACUGGAGAGGGUGGUGGAAUUCCUCGUGUAGCGGUGAAAUGCGUAGAGAUGAGGAGGAACACCAGUGGCGAAGGCGGCUUUCUGGGCCACGACUGACGCUGAGGCGCGAAAGCUAGGGGAGCAAACAGGAUUAGAUACCCUGGUAGUCC